UGUCGUUCAUUUCGUUUAGCGACUCGUAAUUUGCAUAUGUUUGCGCAUCGCACAUGUUUCGCGUGCGCAGGUGUGAGUGAUUCUAUUUGGUAAAAUAGGCUUGGUAUAAUUAAUUUUGUGUUGUCUCAUUUGAGUUAGGUAUGUUGAUACAGCUGAGCCACCACUAGGGCUGCCGUUUACCCCGUCUUUUCGCCAUAGGAGCCUUUGUGAAGCGGUACAACGUUGUUCCAGUUUCCGCACGCUCGGAGCAGAGCCCGACCUUUUUUAUCAAGAAAGAGUCGGAGGCUUCAAUUUAUCACUGGUAGCUCUAUGGGUGAGUUACGUUCUUUGAAAGGCUUUAGACAGUAUUUGGUAUAGUUUUUUGUCUGCCUAUCACGUUUGUUGUUGUUGUUGUGGAAGGAGUCGAACGUAUUGCCUUAUUUUACGUAUUUUCCUUUUGUUUUUUUUUCUGUAUAUUUGCUUUGUUUAAUUUUGAAGUUUAAAUAGGUUCGGCGAUUCUGGGCAUUGCAUUUUGUGGACCAGCCAGCAUUCAGCAACCCGAAAAGCUGAGGGACCAGGCCUCAAGACGCUCGGACAGCUGUCAACCACUGCGGCAGUUUUCCUAAGGAAGCAUUCAGUACAACGCGCGUGGGUGUGAUGCGAGGACGUCUGAAAAUACCACCUCAAGUUCAGCAACUUAGACCCACCAGCCAGCUGAGAAGUACACGCAGCAAACCAUAUGGGAGGACGGCGUACAGGCAGGGAUGGUGGCCAAGCAAAGGGAUCAAGAAGUUUAAAACCAGACUUAAAAUUCAGAAACAGAGAGACAACAGCCCCAGAAUUUUUUACUCUCUCGUACGUUCGAAUUGUGACCUGAACUUCCAUUUUGCCUUAAAGUAACAGAAUAUGUUAGAGGGCGUCUGUUAAACGCUUUCUUCGUAAAAAAAAAGAACAUCUAUACUGUCUUAGAGUUCACUGUAGGGAUGACCACUGUAUUUGCUUGUUUUUAAUUAGAACACAUCAACGUCAGAAGUUGUCCAGGAAGUGACAUGUUUUUCGUUGUAAUGUUGAGAAACAACUAGUUAUUAAAUCGGUUUGCUGUUUU